rnacentral:rRNA from 1 species
GAUGAACGCUGGCGGCGUGCUUAACACAUGCAAGUCGAACGGAAAGGCACCAGCUUGCUGGGGUACUCGAGUGGCGAACGGGUGAGUAACACGUGGGUGAUCUGCCCUGCACUUUGGGAUAAGCUUGGGAAACUGGGUCUAAUACCGAAUAUGACCACUUCUUGGAUGUUGUGGUGGAAAGCUUUUGCGGUGUGGGAUGAGCCUGCGGCCUAUCAGCUUGUUGGUGGGGUAAUGGCCUGCCAAGGCGGCGAAGGGUAUCCGGCCUGGGAGGGUGGACGGACACAUUGGGACUGCGAUACGGCCCAGACUCCUACGGGUGGCAGCAGUGGGGAAUAUUGCACAAUGGGCGCAAGCCUGAUGCAGCGACGCCGCGGGGGGGAUGAAGGCCUUCGGGUUGUAAACUCCUUUCGCUAUCGACGAAGCCACUUGUGGUGACGGUAGGUAGAUAAGAAGCACCGGCUAACUACGUGCCAGCAGCCGCCGUAA